AUUGAACGCUGGCGGCAUGCCUUACACAUGCAAGUCGAACGGUAACGGGCCUUCGGGUGCCGACGAGUGGCGAACGGGUGAGUAAUACAUCGGAACGUGCCCGAUCGUGGGGGAUAACGAGGCGAAAGCUUUGCUAAUACCGCAUACGAUCUACGGAUGAAAGCAGGGGACCGCAAGGCCUUGCGCGGACGGAGCGGCCGAUGGCAGAUUAGGUAGUUGGUGGGAUAAAAGCUUACCGAGCCGACGAUCUGUAGCUGGUCUGAGAGGAUGAUCAGCCACACUGGGACUGAGACACGGCCCAGACUCCUACGGGAGGCAGCAGUGGGGAAUUUUGGACAAUGGGCGCAAGCCUGAUCCAGCCAUGCCGCGUGCAGGAUGAAGGCCUUCGGGUUGUAAACUGCUUUUGUACGGAACGAAAAGCCUUCUUUUAAUACAGGAGGGUCAUGACGGUACCGUAAGAAUAAGCACCGGCUAACUACGUG
rnacentral:rRNA from 1 species